GUGGGCAAUGGUCACAAUAACCCUGAGAUUGAGAGAGAACAAAUUGAAAAUGUAGAAGCAGUGAAAAAGGAAUAAAAGCAGACUGGCAGAAAAAUCCCAGUGUGUCGGAGACUCUCCCAUAAUCCCGUCAUCCACUCAUUUCUAUGGCGAUGAUGCAGAGCUCUAUAGGUGACGUCACUCCUAUAAAUAUUCAUCAGAUGAAAGUGAGCUUUUCACUAAAUCCACCCUUUUUAAGCACAAACUCCUGGUCCCGAUGGGACACUAUCAUAUGGAAACAUUCAAUAACAGAUCUGACUCAAAGAACAACACUAUAGAGUUAGAAAUGUGGCAAAUAAGGAAGUGCAUUAUUUGAUAUUGCAGCCCAUAUUUCAUUUUUGUCAUGUUGAUCUCACACAUCAAUGUGUGAUCACAGUCAGGGAUGAAAACAUAGACCUGUCAUUUGGCAGCUGUAAGUUGUUUGGAUGUGGCCAGUGGGUUCAGAGAUUUGACAGUGUCCAUGUUGGUGGGAACAGUUUUACCAAUGAUAAAUGGUACAGUGUAAAGAUUGAUAUGCCCUUAACUUACCUACCAGACUCUUGACCUGGGGUACUUUCAAAUGGUGGUGAAGUAGUUAGCACUGUGACAACACUGUCAAAUCCUUGCUGGGCCUUUCUUUGAGGAGAUAGCAUGAUCUUCUUAAUAAUAAUAAUAAUAAUAACUUUAUUUAUAUAGCACCUUUAAAAACAGAAGUUUACAAAGUGCUUUGACAACAGUUGCAAGCACAGAACAUCAGCACAUGAAAAUAAAAAAAUAAAAACAAAAGCUCAGUUAAAAACAAGGCCUCUGAAUUGAAGGCCAGUUUCAUUUUUCAUAAGAAACCCAGGCAAUACAAGAACCCUACAACAUAAAAUGGGAUCAUGAGGACCAGAAUAAAAACAAAAAAUGAAUUAGAAAAGGAGGGCAGAAAGCAGGAAACAGGCUAGUAAGUAUAAAAGAGGAUAUUAAUAAUUAUAAUAAAAUCAUAAUAAAAUAAUAAUGAUGGUUACAUAAAUGAUAAAAUGGAAUAAUGAAAAACAUUAAAAUCAAUGAGGGACCUAAGAGAUAAAAUAAGAAAAGAUUAUAAGUAAAACAAAGGCUAAAAGGAUAGCAAGUCGAAAUAAGAUAGAGGUAAAAGAGAUAAAAGAAAAAGGAGAAAAAAGUAAAAGACGGCAUCACACAAAAGCAAGUCUGUAAAAGUGAGUUUUCUAGUGGUGGGCAAAACCGGUCAUUUCAGGGAACCGGAUCAUUCCGGGUCGUUCAGUAAAAAGACCCGUUCAUUUCGUUCUUUUCGGUCAAUCGGUCAUUAGUCAGUCCGCUCGUCUGCGAGUUGGCUCAUAAGGUAUUAAAAGCUCUGAAAUAUAGCUUGGAGCAAGUCCUUUGAGCACUUUAAAAGUAAUCAUCUUCUUGUGUCUGAUUUUCCAGCUAGGCGCACUGGCUUCUUUCCAAAGUGCAAAAACUUGUUAGUGUGUACUACACCUCUAGCCCAGUAACAGCUGGAGUUGGCCACAGCCUUAUGCAACCCUCAACAGACUAAUCAGGAAUUGAUAGAUGGUGUCAGACCUUGAGACUUAUCAUCUAUGGUACAAUUCUAAUAAUGUUUAAUUUUAAGAGCUAUAAAUUUAAAACUGAGAAAAGGGUUGGUGAUUAUUGGUGCAUCUGGAAUGCUUGACAUUCUUGACCAUUUCAAGGACUCCAGCUAAACCAAUAAAAGUCUUACAUUUGGAAAUAAGUCAGGCGCUGUAAGGUGAUGACACAGGAGUACCAUGUUUUGCAAAUAGAUGGAGGCUGUUUGAAGCAGGAUGGGAGACAUGGCAGCUUGGAUAUAGUUCCCUUCCCUUCUAUCUCAACAUCGUCACAGCGUCAUCAUACAAGCAAACUUUCAAAAAAUGAACCCCUGGAGAGCUGGAUAAAGUUGUGUUGUUUUUAUUGCAAAAAUAAAUGAAUAAAAUAAAUGAGUAACAAAAGCUUUCUAAACAAUAAAUCACAGCAUUUAAAGCCUGUGGUCAAUGAUAGUAGGUGCUGUGAGCCAUCAUGUGGCCAUGUGUCAGCUGCCCUUACUUAUAGGCGAGUGCCCUCCCCACCUGUGGAGGGCGCAGACAAACUUAAAAGGUCAACUAUGUAAAUACAAACCAUAGACUGUAUAAAGAAUGGACAGAGUCUGCCUCCUUGCUGGGUGAAGCCACUCCGAGAACAGCACCCUCUGUUGACGGGCUGCAGUACAGGUCAUAAAUCCCGCCUCCGCCAGCAAAGCUUAUGAAGCUGUGGACAAACUUUAGAAAUUUAUUACACAGAAUAUACAUUUUUCUCCCCCCUGCUUGUGAUGUUGACAUGUAGUUACAGUAAGACUGGUUUGUGCUCAAGUCCUUUUUUUCUGUUCAGCUCUGUUUUUAAAAGUUAUUAGGGGGUUCAUGUUUUCUAUGAUUGACACCUGGUACAGCCUAUGGGGGAUUCGCUGUUUGAGCCGAGCGUCAUCACAGGGACUCUCGGCGACUGCGCGGCUGAAUGCGCGCAUCGCUACUGCGCAGCUCUGGUUUCGAGGAGGUGGAGAAAAACCCGGAAUUACCGAGAGCUUUUUGGCUUCAAAUCCGUAUACAGGCGGAAGGCAGAACCAGGUCGUCCAUAGUAUAUACAGUCUAUGAUACAAACUCAAACUUGGCUCCUACAGUAUGCUUAAAGCUAAUGGAAAUGUAUCAUAAAGCAAAUAAAUAUUGUAAAAAGUUGUUUUUAAUCAUAGACUGUAUACAGAAUGGACGUGUCUGCCUCCCCGCUGGGUGAAGCCACCGCAAGAACAGCACCCUCUGGUGACAGGCUGCAGUAUAGAACAUAAAUCCCACCUCCUCCAGCAAUCCUUAUGGAGUUGUCAACAAACUUUAGAAAUUUAUUACACAGAAUAUACAUUUUUCUCCCCCUGGUUGCAGUGUUGAUGUGUAGUUACUGUACGACUGGUUUGUGCUCAAGUCCUCAUUUUUCUGUGCUGCUCCAUUUUUAACAGUUAUCAGGGGGUUCAUGUUUUCUAUGAUUGACACUUGACACAGGCUAUGGGCGUACGAAGAUUGCGUAGCUCACCUGGGGAUAUGCUAUUUGAGCAGCAGCAGCACGUCAUCACAGUGACUCUCGGCGACUCUCCCACCGAAUGCCUACAAUGCUACUGUGCAAGUGGUGGAGUGCGUACAACGCCACGGUGCAAGAGAUGGUUCCAUGAAGUGGAGAAAAUCCCAGAAAUACAGAGAGCAAUUCGGCUGCAAACUUGUAUAAUGACAGAAGGCAGAGCCAAGUUGUCCAUAGUUUAUACAGUCUAUGGUUUUAAUGGAAAGACCUCGAAGUUUGAGAUAUCGAAGAAUGGUGCCAAAGUGCUCUGAUUGGUUGUAGGUCUGUCUUUUUGUUUCCAGAGGCACUUCCAGAGACUGUUGCUUAAUGCUCCCUGAAAAAAGGAAAUUGAAUCAGACCCACUCAUGAAGUUGUGGUUGAAUAAUCAAAUAGGGAAUUCUUUUCUUCAGUGCAGCCGAGAUGACUGGUUUCUGCUUUUUCACCUUUAAUCCACCCUUAAAGGAAUGCAGUGACUCUACUCACUCAAAGGAGAUUGGGGGUGAAUUUCCACACCAAACCAUGGUCUUUUUACAACCUCCUGUCUGUGGGAAACAUAGACUGUAUAUAGAAUGGACAGCAUCUGCCUCC
rnacentral:lncRNA from 1 species